rnacentral:rRNA from 1 species
AUUGAACGCUGGCGGCAGGCCUAACACAUGCAAGUCGAGCGGAUGAAGGGAGCUUGCUCCUGGAUUCAGCGGCGGACGGGUGAGUAAUGCCUAGGAAUCUGCCUGGUAGUGGGGGAUAACGUCCGGAAACGGGCGCUAAUACCGCAUACGUCCUGAGGGAGAAAGUGGGGGAUCUUCGGACCUCACGCUAUCAGAUGAGCCUAGGUCGGAUUAGCUAGUUGGUGGGGUAAAGGCCUACCAAGGCGACGAUCCGUAACUGGUCUGAGAGGAUGAUCAGUCACACUGGAACUGAGACACGGUCCAGACUCCUACGGGAGGCAGCAGUGGGGAAUAUUGGACAAUGGGCGAAAGCCUGAUCCAGCAAUGCCGCGUGUGUGAAGAAGGUCUUCGGAUUGUAAAGCACUUUAAGUUGGGAGGAAGGGCAGUAAGUUAAUACAUUGCUGUUUUGACGUUACCAACAGAAUAAGCACCGGCUAACUUCGUG